UUUUGAAAAAAAAUAUUUGUUUUGCCCUCUGACAAAUAAAAUUUGUACCAUCCGUAAUAUAAAGGUGUAGUUUGUCUUCGAAGAAUAAGUCAAAUAUUGAGUAGCGCUCAAAUUCAAUUUUCCCAAUGAUAGUUUACUAAUUUAUUUCAUUCAAAACUACUCCUGCAAGUUGCAUGUAGUUCAAAUCGCGCGAUAAGCGCUUCUAACAAUUACGAUACAUGUGCUGAUUGGUAUCUUCUCGGUCAAUAAAUCACCCACUGUUUACACUUCUACUGCCGGCGUCUGGCGGCGGACGAGAGAGAGAGAGUAACAAAAACAAAACAGGUUCCUCGCCUCAUGCGACGAUGUCUAUCUGGCCAGAGCUUUGAAAGCUUCCACCGCUCCGCGCUCUCUCACUAUCUUUUUCUCACGAGCUCCAGCAUUAAAGCUCCCAUAAUCGCGCUCAAUUUCCAAUCAGCUUCAGCGCGCGUACAAAAAGCCACCUAGCGUUGCUCACUUUUCUCAGUUCUUGACGCGAUUUCCAUCUGUUCUGAUCGAGUUGGCCGUGACCGGGCUGUGCUUUUAUUUGUUUUUCUUCUCUCUUUUUGUUCGACUUGCACUCGUGUGAGCAUAGAUUAGUGAACCCCCAAUUGCAUCGCCUACCGCGAUCGAACGUGCAGUGAAGUGUGCCGAAAUUAAAACGAUGACCAAAUUUACGAUUGAGCUGGAAGAGCGGCAAAGAUUUGUUGUAUAGCUAGAUGAUCAGGGAGAAUAUCAGAUUAUGAUAUAAUAAACAUGUUUAUAUUAUUUAUUUGAUUUGUAACUAAUAAUAAAGAAAAACAAAAGCACUCUUUUAAACCUUUGUACAUGUUUGGCUGACUCAAAAAACACGUUUACAGUACAGAAUACUCUCAGUUUUUGUCAAAAAAAA